rnacentral:SRP_RNA from 1 species
GCUGGGCGUGGUGGUGCAUGCCUGUAAUCCCAGCUACUUAGGAGGCUGAGACAGGAGAAUUGCUUGAACCCGGGAGGUGGAGGUUGCAGUGAGCCGAGAUCACACCACCGCACUCCAGCCUGGGUGACAGAGCAAGACUUCGUCUCAA